rnacentral:misc_RNA from 1 species
CCAGGAUUUCAUAGAAAAUUUGUGCGUAAUUAUAGUUAUUGAUCAACAUUCAGUAUGAAACAUAGUUACAUCAAUAGAUUUUGACAGAAAUACACUUCAACGGCUACCGUUGCCAGAAUAACGUGACAUGAAUUAAGCAAGUGUGGCUCCGACAUCUCAACUUGUAUAUUUGUGUAUCCCUGCCCUAGGUAGAUUGCACUUUUGAGAAAUUCUAAAAUCAAAAUUCUUUCUUUUUAUCCUCCUGGAGUCAGACUUUAUAAUAUGUUAUUCCUUGUAUUUUGUGUAUCCCUUUUCUGAAUCUGGAUUUACUUCUUGCCCGACUUGAAGACAAGAAUCUGUCUGCAGCCCAGUCUUAUCACUAUUCUCAUAUCUUAACAAUAUUCCAAACAGUAUCUUCCCCUUCACUCUCCUGUAUGUAGCUAAAGUCGCCAAAGGUUCAUUUGACCUCUGCACUUGUCCACUUCGAUGCACAAAAUUGAUCAUCUGGCAACGGUUGCAUCCACCCAAUGACGUAAAAGACUUGUUCCCAAUUUUGAGACUUCUCCAUCCAUCUUCUGCAUAAGGUUCACCUCCAGAUAUGACAAGGUUCGGUCGAAAUCUCAUUGGAUUGACUUGAAGGGAUGUUCCGUGAGUUCCUUUUUGCACAUCUGCUAUCAUCAAUGAUGGUUUUUGGCAUGUCUUAUAAUCCAAGGAGGAAAAAGAGCUAACAAAUUCCCAAACGUUAAAUUACCCCAAAUUUCAAACCAUAAAAUGGUGACUGCAAAAGAAAGAUCAUUCAUCUUAUAAGACAAUUGUGCAAGUGGGUAAAACAUGCCUAGGCUUUCAUACACAUUUUUCACUUUGGGACAACAAGAAGCUGCAAUCCCUUGGGUUUCCCAUUCCUUUCUAGUAUUUAAAAGCAUAACUUUAUAAUCUAAAGUAGAAAGAGGAGCCCCUGUCAUUAAUGAAAGUGGAGAGGAAAUUUAAGUCAAAUGCUUCAACAUGCAAGUAUACAACUCGACCAAAUCUUAAUCCAAAACUAGCUGAGGUCAGCUAUAUUUAUCCUUUACCUUCAUUCCACCCUGUUUAAAAUUACCUCUUCCGAAAGCAUGCUUAUUCAAAUUACACAAGGCACAGAUUUUCCGGUCAUGUUAAGAAGCUUUAAUGCUUUGGAUUAGAAAAGCACAGCAUUUGCUAAUUUGCAUCAUCAUGAUCUCUUGCAACUUAAAUUGUGAACCAUUUAUGUAUCAUAAAUCUGAUUAAUGCACUGUUAUUCUUACUGUAUGUUUUCCUCCAAAAAAAAAGCCAAGAUAGUCACAGUUUAUCUAAUCAUGGAAAAAGACUAUUAUUCGUGCUAAAUAGAAGUAUUUGCUUCUUAUUUUAAUGAAGUAGAACAGAACAUACUCUGGCUUAAUCUGUUGUUGAGGUCAGAUAUGCUCUCCUCAGAUAUUAAUAAAAACUGAGCUUCAUUGGCAAAACUCAAUCUGCUCUCCACAUCUCUGCACAUGCUCAUAGCCCUGUUCUCGUUUCUGCAAACAUAGCCCUUAGAACUGAAACAUCGUAAUAGAGUGCAGGGACGACCAACAGCAUUGCUAAACCAUAGGUUGACAUCAUUUUCACAGUGCUGUACUUCAAAUCUCUUUGCGUGCAAUUCAAUUUCUUCUUUUGCACAAGGAUAUGAAUCUGUCCUUAGGUUGAUCUUCAACUUCGCCUUACAUCGAGGUGACUCAACAAGCAUUAGUCCUUGAUUUAGGUCAAUAGAAGUGCUAAUAAAGCACAUUUCAGGAACCUGCAAAAGAAAAUCAGAACCUAAAAAGUGUCCAGCACAUCAAAGGCCACAAAAAAUGCCACUAAUAUACAAAACUUACACACAAGGGCCAAUUUAGGGUUGCACACACCUGGACACACAUACAAUUGUUCCACAUGCAUAGUUUACUCACCUUUUUCUGAGUAAGGAUUUCCCCUGUUAGACUUUUAAGAAGCCAUUCCCGAUCAUGUUGCAAGCCUGAUAAAUUUGGCAAUAGGACAAAUAUACAACUCAAAUCACCAUCACGGGCUUAGUGUACCUCCAAACCAAAAUAUGAAUAUAUAAUACACAUGACAUUCUCAUAAAUCAAACUCUUACAAUCUUCUCUUCUCAAAAAGAGAAUACCUUGAUUUCAUCUAUUAACAAGUUAAAUAUCAGUGAAAUUUAUACCUAAAAAACUAUGAUUGCCGGCUUAUGAUCUUAGUUUUAAUUUGGUUUUAUUUUGUUUUACUUCAGACCAAAAAUCUGACAUUUCAGGCAACCUAACUCUUCAUGCGUACAGAAGAGAAAGAAGAUACUCCACUAAUUCAUAAUCUCAUUAUGACAAGAAGAGUUUCUGGUCUAUCAGUAGGACAAUCAAACAAUAUCUGGCUGACUUUAACUAAAGUAUUAGUAACACAAAUUUUAAAAUAAAUAAACAUAUAUGUGCAUAUGUUUGAUCCAAAUUAGCUACCAGUACUGCUCAGAGGCCAACUUUCUACACUGAAUCCUCCACAUGAUUUUAUUGGGUAAAUAGUAAUGGACUUCAGAUAAUAACCCGCUGAUGAGUGUCUUUUUUCCUGUCCAUCACUUGAGAAGGGGAUGGACCUUGGCCUAAACAGAUUCCCAUUUGCAGAUUUAUUUGGUGUGGAUACAAAUGAUCUUGUGAUAAAAUCAAUAAAUUUCUUGGCAUCUUCAUAUGUUGACAUGUAACCAAAUGAUACUCUAACAGCUCCAGUUGGUUUUCCCUGUAUUAUGUCAUUAUCAUCCCAGCAAACAUGCCCAGCCUCUAAGUUCGAAAGAAGAUCCAAAUGAGACAAUCCAAGGUAUUUUGCACAUGCUCCAGGAUUGCAAAAGCAUCCUGUCCGUAACUGAAUCCCAGAUAAGGAAGCCAAUUUUUCCACCUCACGAUAUCCAAACCAAGAGCCAUCUGGCCUUUUCAAGUUGAAUGACAGUAUAGAACCUGAUUCACAACAAAGUACCUUUGAAGCAUGACUUUUGUAAAUCAUGCAAACUUUAGCCCCAUUUUCAUGCCUUAAAGCCAAGAGCAUCUUCUCCACAUACAUCGUAAGUGAUGCUGUAUGCCGACAAAUCCUAGGUGCAGUAAGAGAAUUGAGUAUUUUGAAUCCAUGGCACAUGGAUGCAAUGCUUAGAAAUGAAAUGGUGCCAUCCUCAAAAAGCUCUUCAACACUUUCUCUUCUUUUAACAAAGUCCACAUCAGCAAAGGAAGCAGCAACAGUGCCUCCACUAAAGUAAUUCUUCUUCAGUAUCUUAGCAGCAUCAUUUCGAACAAUGAGAGCACCAAGUCCAGUUGGAUAGCCAAAUAACUUAUAGAAUGAGAUUACAACAAAAUCUGCAGGAUACUUUGACAAAUCUGGUGGUUGUGUUGCACAUCCCUUUGCAGCAUCAAUCAAGACCAUCCAGCUUCCCUUGCAAAAUUGAGAACCUCCUGAAAUUCUCUCUGAAUUAUCCUUAAUAAGCUUCACCAAUUCAAGGCUGAAUCUAAAACCUGAGAAAUUGCACUCGGAAGGAAAGGCAAACAAGUUGUAAGCAUCACCCAUGGGCUCUCCUUCCAUAAAUUCAGCCUCAUAUCUCCGUUGAACUGGGUGUAGUGACACCCUUAUUCCAUCAUGAUGCACAGGACUUUCAAUAUCUACUGCAAAGGCUGCAGCUCCUUGACUGAGAGCAUAUUCUCUGAUCCCAAGCACACUAUUAUGAUUUUCCAUGGUGUACAUAAAAUUGCUCUCAUGGUUCCAAGGAAAGGCCUCCCCAAUCAGCUUCAGUGCUGCUGUUGCACCAGAUGUGAAUAUGCAUUUGUAGUCUUUUGGAGAUGCAUUGCAGUAGUCAAGUACCUGUUGGCGUGCUUC